rnacentral:lncRNA from 1 species
UUUAUUAUUAUGUCUAGUUUCUAUUUUGUUUUCCCUCAGCCCCUGCUCCUGAGAGUGCAUGCCACAGCCUCUUCCUGCUGCUAUGAGUUGGGUCUUCUGCUUGGGCAGUCUGCUUUCUUUGGGAAAAGUCACAUCAAGAUGACUUCUUCAUCCAAGUGGAGGAUUGCCUGGCCAUUAUGGGUAGCUCUAGCUGCCGACUGCCACCCAUUGGACCCAUUGUCCAGUUGGUGGGUAGGUCACAUGCUUCUUGUUUUGCCCUGCCGCUGGGAUGACAGCCUCAGCCUCUUGACUCUUGGGUUUCUUAUUCUUGGAACCAGAUACAGGCCACUUGUCCUCUGAAACCUUAGAGGACACAAGCUUAAUUCUCUGAGUGGAGGUCCUGAUGUUCCCCUUUCUGGGUGUGUGCUGGGGAAGACCCUCUCGCCUCUACCAUAAGCAUAAGAUGCAAAUGCUCAGCACACCAACAGCUUUCUCUGAAAAAACUUCUUUUCCCCUUUUC